rnacentral:rRNA from 1 species
UACGUAGGGUGCGAGCGUUAAUCGGAUUUACUGGGCGUAAAGCGUGCGCAGGCGGCCCGUUAAGACAGGUGUGAAAUCCCUGGGCUCAACCCAGGAAUUGCGCUUGUGACUGGCGGGCUCGAGUACGGUAGAGGGGGGUGGAAUUCCUGGUGUAGCAGUGAAAUGCGUAGAGAUCAGGAGGAACACCGAUGGCGAAGGCAGCCCCCUGGGCCUGUACUGACGCUCAUGCACGAAAGCGUGGGGAGCAAACAGG